GGCAAUGGUAGCUCAGUGGUUAAAACAUUGGACUAGUGCUUAGAAGGUCAUGAGUUCAAACCCCAGCACUGCUA